GUAGAGAAAGUUAAGAAAAGAUAGCUGUGCCAGCACCCCUCCUUGUGACUUUGCUGGGUCACCAUAAUGAGCAACUUGAGCACAGAAGACAGCACCUGUGACAUUUGGUUUUGUGUUUUGAUGAGGACUACAGUGCAGACUGGUGCACAGUGGAGUGGAGAAGAUGGCAAACUCUCCCCAGGAUGUCAGGAUGUUUUUCCUCUUCUUUCUGUCUGAUGACGUAUGUGGUGGCGUUCAAAGCCUCACGAGCCACCCCUACCAAGUGACUGAUUCGGGAACUGGUUCGCAGGUACAGCCUGGGGUCAAGAUCAUCUCCGGCAGGAUAACGCAGAGACGUAACCCCCAUCCUGAGUCUCCUUCUGCUGGGCUACUCGAUGCACAACUAACUCAAUAAACGUUCAAACUUA